CAUGCCGUAAACGGUGGGCGCUAGGUGUAGGGGUCUUCCACGACUUCUGUGCCGUAGCUAACGCAUUAAGCGCCCCGCCUGGGGAGUACGGCCGCAAGGCUAAAACUCAAAGGAAUUGACGGGGGCCCGCACAAGCGGCGGAGCAUGUGGAUUAAUUCGAUGCAACGCGAAGAACCUUACCAGGGCUUGACAUCCUCGGACGACACUAGAGAUAGUGUUUUCUCUUCGGAGACUGAGAGACAGGUGG
rnacentral:rRNA from 1 species